rnacentral:rRNA from 1 species
GAAAGGCGCUUUUGCGUCACUGAUGGAUGGACCCGCGGUGCAUUAGCUAGUUGGUGAGGUAACGGCUCACCAAGGCAACGAUGCAUAGCCGACCUGAGAGGGUGAUCGGCCACAUUGGGACUGAGACACGGCCCAAACUCCUACGGGAGGCAGCAGUAGGGAAUCUUCGGCAAUGGACGCAAGUCUGACCGAGCAACGCCGCGUGAGUGAAGAAGGUUUUCGGAUCGUAAAACUCUGUUGUUAGAGAAGAACAAGGAUGAGAGUAGAAUGUUCAUCCCUUGACGGUAUCUAACCAGAAAGCCACGGCUAACUACGUGCCAGCAGCCGCGGUAAUACGUAGGUGGCAAGCGUUGUCCGGAUUUAUUGGGCGUAAAGCGAGCGCAGGCGGUUUCUUAAGUCUGAUGUGAAAGCCCCCGGCUCAACCGGGGAGGGUCAUUGGAAACUGGGAAACUUGAGUGCAGAAGAGGAGAGUGGAAUUCCAUGUGUAGCGGUGAAAUGCGUAGAUAUAUGGAGGAACACCAGUGGCGAAGGCGGCUCUCUGGUCUGUAACUGACGCUGAGGCUCGAAAGCGUGGGGAGCAAACAGGAUUAGAUACCCUGGUAGUCCACGCCGUAAACGAUGAGUGCUAAGUGUUGGAGGGUUUCCGCCCUUCA